GUGCCAGCCGCCGCGGUAAUACGGAGGGUGCAAGCGUUAAUCGGAAUUACUGGGCGUAAAGCGUGCGCAGGCGGCCUGCUAAGUCGGAUGUGAAAGCCCCGGGCUUAACCUGGGAAUUGCAUUCGAUACUGGCAGGCUAGAGUCUGGUAGAGGUAAGCGGAAUUCCGGGUGUAGCGGUGAAAUGCGUAGAUAUCCGGAGGAACAUCAGUGGCGAAGGCGGCUUACUGGACUAAGACUGACGCUCAGGCACGAAAGCGUGGGUAGCAAACAGGAUUAGAUACCCCAGUAGUCC
rnacentral:rRNA from 1 species